rnacentral:lncRNA from 1 species
GGCAGGAGAGUCUAAUUGGAUUGUGACUCGAAUAAGGAGUCCCACUGAGACUGGGACUGUGGAGGUGAGUCCCACUGAAUUGGGAUUCUACUAUUAAUAAAAAAUUAAUUAGUAAUUAAAUUAUUAAUAAAUUCAAUUUGAUUGAGUAAAGAGCUUUGGAUCAAGUCUAAUUGAAUUAGAUUCAGUUUGAUUUAGAUUGGGUU